GAGCUGUGAAGAAAUUUGAACUCAACGUGAUGACAGGGUCUAUAACUUUCGCCUGAUCCUCUUGGGACGAAAGCGAGUGCUUCUGAGCUC
rnacentral:snoRNA from 13 species